rnacentral:misc_RNA from 1 species
AACCCUCAAGCUCUGCUUGGUGUUGGGGCCCUACAGCUGAUGUAGGCCCUCAAAGGUAGUGGCGGACCCUCCCGGAGCCUCCUUUGCGUAGUAACUUUACGUCUCGCACUGGGAUCCGGAGGGACUCUUGCCGUAAAACCCCCCAAUUUUCCAAAGGUUG